rnacentral:pre_miRNA from 1 species
UUUUUAGUGUAAGUAUGCCCUAUGCAAUGUUUGGGACAUACUUAUACUAAAA